rnacentral:rRNA from 1 species
CCCUACGGGGNGCANCAGGCGCGAAAACUUUACAAUGCUGGAAACAGCGAUAAGGGGACCUCGAGUGCCAGGUUACAAAUCUGGCUGUCGUGAUGCCUAAAAAGCAUUGCAUAGCAAGGGCCGGGCAAGACCGGUGCCAGCCGCCGCGGUAA